CUUUGUAAACUCCACCUUCUUCCCUUUUCAUCAACAACUUCUGCUGCUGAUUCUAGAACAUCUCUAGCAAGAGGAAAAAGACCUUGUUCUCAACCUAAUUUACUCUCUAGUUCUGGCUAAGAAGGUUCAACUGCGUUCAGGUUGAGGGUUUUCUUCCAUUUUUUUGAACUAUGGGUUUAUGAUGCAAAUCGAUACUGUUAAUGCAUGUUUGUUUUCAAAUCUCUCUCGGUUAAUUUGUGCUUUCUAUAUGGGUAUUUUGCAACUUCACAUGAUUUCGGGUUUAAUGAAAUUGUAUUUUAAAGUAUUUUAGUCUGAUUGAGAGAACAUAAAGGAAUCCCUAAAUUUUAUUUUGUUUCUACUGGUUCUUCUCUCAACUUUCAUUUGAAUAUUUUCUUAACUAAAAUGUGUUGAACAUGAUUAAUUUGUCCAUGUUUAUGACUAUUGAUACAAAUCAGCAAAUGGGUAUUUGAGAGAUUUGUAAAUCCUGACUGUCCAUUGAAUUUCUUCCAAUAUUUUUAAUGCUAUAUUUUUUAUAAGUUUACACAUGAAAACAUAUUUUGAAUUUCUGUAAAGAGAAUUUGUAAACGAUUACUGGUGAUUAUAAGUGAUUCUCAAACAGAAUUUAUGAAUGGUUUGCAGUCAACUAAGUUCUGAUUUUAGUGUUAAAUAAAAUGUUAAAAUGAGUUUCUCAAGUGUCCGCAACACUUGUUUGUAAAAUGACAUAGUGAGCCAUUUAACUUCACUGUUAACCAAAAAACAGUAUAAAUAAAUUUGUUCCAUGGUUUUUGUAUUUUGACCUCUUUCAAUCCUGUAAACUCAAAUAAUCCAACCCAAUAAUUUGUUUUACUACACCAACUUAAAAGCUUUUCAAAUCCAUGUUCUCACCUUAACUUGGAAUGUACUACCGCAUAAUUAAACCCAUUGCUUUCAUCUUUGUUAAGUUUGGACUGUCUGCCUUGCUGUUGAAUAUGUUUGAAUUUGGAUAGUGAUUCGUCUCACUCUUUCAAGGAAAGAAAUGUUGACUGUACUUUUGCUAGUGAAUUUUCAAAUGCUUAUUGUACUCUUUUAAGGGAAGAAAUGUUUGGAUUUAAAUACGUUCGACUUUGGCUAGUGAUUUGGCUCCUGUUUUUUUUUUUAGAAAUGGAUGCAUUUAAUCUUGGUAUACAUACUGUAUUUCCACUUUGGUGUUUUCUUAUGAAGCAGGCUUUUGUAUAAGUUGCGAUAUCGUCUCCUUUCACUUUUGUGAAAUUGCUGUGGUUUAGAAAUGUUCUUUUGUCUGAGAAUUCACUUGUGAUUGCUGUCACUAAGAACUAGAAAGCUCUACUUUAGGAACGUCGGGCCUAAGUGGCACCCCACCAACUCGGUGGCUACCCGGAAGAUCGUUGCGGCAACGAUGGCUGGUAACCAGAACUACCCGGUGGCUAUGGUCAUGUGAAUAGUAGAAGUACGAAGAGAAGUUGCAGCAGUAAGCCGGGCAGAGCUUACGGAAAGCUGUUAGCGCUUGAAAGUUAGUAUUUUGUAAGCUUAUGAUAUUGUAUAUCACAGAGGUAUCUGGGUAGUUAGUUUGCUUGCCUUUUCCCAUGUCAUUUUUGUACAUUUUGCUGCUAUGAUUGGGAUCUUGUAAAUGAUCUUGUUAUGCUUUGUAACUGGAAACUUGGUGGUGUCCUGUACAGAAGGUCUGAUUUUGGCUUGUAUAUAUACUGCAUACAGAACUUUUAUUUCUCGUUGAUGU